rnacentral:rRNA from 1 species
AGUGAACGCUGGCGGUAGGCCUAACACAUGCAAGUCGAACGGCAGCACAGUAAGAGCUUGCUCUUACGGGUGGCGAGUGGCGGACGGGUGAGGAAUACAUCGGAAUCUACUUUUUCGUGGGGGAUAACGUAGGGAAACUUACGCUAAUACCGCAUACGACCUACGGGUGAAAGCAGGGGAUCUUCGGACCUUGCGCGAUUGAAUGAGCCGAUGUCGGAUUAGCUAGUUGGCGGGGUAAAGGCCCACCAAGGCGACGAUCCGUAGCUGGUCUGAGAGGAUGAUCAGACACACUGGAACUGAGACACGGUCCAGACUCCUACGGGAGGCAGCAGUGGGGAAUAUUGGACAAUGGGCGCAAGCCUGAUCCAGCCAAACCGCGUGGGUGAAGAAGGACUUAGGGUUGUAAAGCCCUUUUGUUGGGAAAGAAAGGCAGCAGGUUAAUACCCCGCUGUUCUGACGGUACCCAAAGAAUAAGCACCGGCUAACUUCGUG